rnacentral:rRNA from 1 species
GGUUCAUUCAAAUUUCUGCCCUAUCAACUUUCGACGGCUGGGUCUUGACCAGCCGUGGUGACAACGGGUAACGGAAGGUUAGGGCUCGACCCCGGAGAAGGAGCCUGAGAAACGGCUACUACAUCCAAGGAAGGCAGCAGGCGCGCAAAUUACCCAAUCCCGACCGGGGAGGUAGUGACAAUAAAUACUGAUACAGGGCUCUUUUGGGUCUUGUAAUUGGAAUGAGUACAAUUUAAAUCCCUUAACGAGGAACAAUUGGAGGCAAGUCUGGUGCCAGCAGCCGCGGUAAUUCCAGCUCCAAUAGCGUAUAUUAAAGUUGUUGAGGUUAAAAAGCUCGUAGUUG